rnacentral:rRNA from 1 species
GACGUAGGGCGCGAGCGUUGUCCGGAUUUAUUGGGCGUAAAGAGCUCGUAGGCGGCUUGUCGCGUCGACUGUGAAAUCCCGCGGCUCAACUGCGGGUCUGCAGUCGAUACGGGCAGGCUAGAGUUCGGUAGGGGAGACUGGAAUUCCUGGUGUAGCGGUGAAAUGCGCAGAUAUCAGGAGGAACACCGGUGGCGAAGGCGGGUCUCUGGGCCGAUAUUGACGCUGGAGGAGCGAAAGCGUGGGGAGCGAACAGG